GUAUGAAACCUAAAGGAAUUGGGGGGGGAGCACCCCAAGGGGUGAAGCCUGCGGUUCAAUUGGAGUCAACGCCAGAAAUUUUUACCGGGAAGACAGCAGAAUUAAGGUCAAGCUGAAGACUUUACCAAGCAAGCUGAGAGGUGGUGCAUGGCCGUCGCCAGCUCGUGCCGUGAGAUGUCCUGUUAAGUCAGGUAACGAGCGAGAUCCCUGCCUCUAGUUGCCACCAUUACUCUCAGGAGUAGUGGGGCGAAUUAGCGGGACCGCCGUAGUUAAUACGGAGGAAGGAAGGGGCCACGGCAGGUCAGUAUGCCCCGAAACUCUGGGGCCACACGCGGGCUGCAAUGGUAGUGACAAUGGGUUCCAAACCCGAAAGGGAGAGGUAAUCCUCAAAUGUUACCACAGUUAUGACUGAGGGCUGCAACUCGCCCUCACGAAUAUGGAAUCCCUAGUAACCGCGUGUCAUUACCGCGCGGUGAAUACGUCCCUGCUCCUUGCACACACCGCCCGUCGUUUCAUUGAAGUUUGCUUUUAGCGAGGUGACGUCUCAUUGGCGUUAUCGAACUUGA
rnacentral:rRNA from 1 species